rnacentral:tRNA from 1 species
GGGAAAGUGGCUCAGUGGUAGAGCACUUGCCUUGCAUGCAUGAAGCCCUGGGUUCGAUUCCUUAGCACCA